rnacentral:rRNA from 1 species
UACCAUGGUUUUAACGGGUAACGGGGAAUUAGGGUUCGAUUCCGGAGAGGGAGCCUGAGAAACGGCUACCACAUCCAAGGAAGGCAGCAGGCGCGCAAAUUACCCAAUCCCAACACGGGGAGGUAGUGACAAUAAAUAACAAUAUGGGGCUCUUACGAGUCUCGUAAUUGGAAUGAGUACAAUUUAAAUCUCUUAACGAGGAACAAUUGGAGGGCAAGUCUGGUGCCAGCAGCCGCGGUAAUUCCAGCUCCAAUAGCGUAUAUUAAAGUUGUUGCAGUUAAAAAGCUCGUAGUUGAAUUUCGGAAUCCAUCCAUCGGUCGGGCCUCACGGUCCGCACUGGUGUGAUGGAUUUCUACCUUCUGAAUAACCAGCAUGUCAUUAAUUUGGUGCGUUGGGGAAGCAGGACUGUUACCUUGAAAAAAUUAGAGUGCUUAAAGCAGGCUAGUGCCUGAAUACAUUAGCAUGGAAUAAUGAAAUAGGACGGCAUGGUUCUAUUUUGUUGGUUUCUAGGAUCACCGUAAUGAUUAAUAGGGAUAGUUGGGGGCAUUAGUAUUCAAUUGUCAGAGGUGAAAUUCUUGGAUUUAUUGAAGACUAACUUCUGCGAAAGCAUUUGCCAAGGAUGUUUUCAUUAAUCAAGAACGAAAGUUGGGGGAUCGAAGACGAUCAGAUACCGUCGUAGUCUUAACCAUAAACUAUGCCGACUAGGGAUCGGACGAUGUUAAUUUUUUAAUGACUCGUUCGGCGCCUUACGGGAAACCAAAGUGUUU